AAAAAAAAAAAAGCGAACAGGUUCCACAUAGAGUUUGGGGAGCAGAUCAGUAGUGAUCCUCCGCGGUGACACUUAUUGGAACCCUGAAUUACGCCCUCGCAAGAGGGAGAUGCCCAAGACUGUAAACAAAAUGGGAAGAGUAAGUUGCCCUCGUGGCGAGCGACACUUUCGAAUUGCGGGGAACCCUGAGAGCUCUGCCUGCCAACCCGGGGGGAAACCCACCGGGGGCCCGUGCUAACAUACACGGGGGGGGUAAAAACGGUCAGAGAUUGUUCAAUCCGCAUCCAAGCCCCUAACUCCAGGCCCGCCUGGACACGGUUUUGGUUCACAGAAUAUGUAACAAGGUUUCCGUGGGUGAACCUGCGGAAGGAUCAUUAAAUAAUUUAGAUGGCCUCCUAGAACUUGUUCUCAUUAGGUUUGGAAGUAAAAGUCGUAACAAGGUUUCCGUAGGUGAACCUGCGGAAGGAUCAUUACCGAGUUGAUUCGAGCUCCGGCUCGACUCUCCCACCGUUUGUUUACCUACCUCUGUUGCUUUGGCGGUGCCGCCUUCGGGCGCCCGCCCGAGGACUUCAAAACUCCAGUCAGUGAACGUCUCAGUCUGAAAAACAAGUUAAUAAACUAAAACUUUCAACAACGGAUCUUUUGGUUCUGGCAUCGAUGAAGAACGCAGCGAAAUGCGAUAAGUAAUGUGAAUUGCAGAAUUCAGUGAAUCAUCGAAUCUUUGAACGCACAUUGCGCCCCUUGGUAUUCCGGGGGGCAUGCCUGUUCGAGCGUCCUUUCAACCCUCAAGCUCUGCUUGGUAUUGGGCUCCGUCCUCCUCGGACGCGCCUCAGAGACCUCGGCGGUGGCGUCUUGCCUCCCGCGUAGUGGAAACACCUCGCUUUGGAGUGCAUGGCGUCGCCCGCCGGACGAAACCUUUUGUAUUUUCUCAAAGGUUGACCUCGGAUCAGGUAGGGAUACCCGCUGAACUUAAGCAUAUCAAUUUUCGGAGGAACGACUAUCUCUGGGCCCAUCCCAAACAAAACUUAAAUAGAUUUGAUCUGAAGUCAGGCGGGCUUACCCGCUGAACUUUAGUUAUAUUAUCGGGGAAAAAAAAACCC
rnacentral:rRNA from 1 species